GCCUGGGUGGCUUAGUCCGUGGGGCGUCUGACUUCAGCUCAGGUCAUGAUCUCGCAGUUUGUGAGUUCGAGCCCCGCCUCGGGCU
rnacentral:tRNA from 1 species